CUUCGUGUUAGACGCUCAUUAAGGGCUAACAAAGGGGAAAGGGGAGAAAGAUGGAAAUAAAUUUCACUCAAGAAGACCAACCGCCGAGUCUUGAUUUUUCUACCAAGGAAGUCAAUUAUGAAGAAUUUCGUUUGUUACAACUGCACUUGACAGCGAAAUUAGUGCGAGUUCCAGUUUUAUUGCAUCGGAAGAAUUGCUGCAGAUUGUUACAGAAAGCAGGUCAGGGAAGGUCGUGAAUGUAUUCAGCUCAUACCCAAGUUUAUUUUGCUCCGUCAUUUAGUCUUUGUUAUCGCAUCAGGCGCCACACCGCCAUUCUCAGAGCCGACUCCGCGAUCAAUAUACCUGCGCGUGGAAGCCACGCACCGUUUGAUUGUCACGUGACUCGAGAGUGUGCUCAAUUGAAGCAAGUAGGCUUUAGCAGACGACUUUUAUAGAUGGAGGUUCCUCCACAUACAGGGUUAAUAAAAAUCAAAAGUCGUUUUUUCUGCGGUGGUCAUUUCGGUACAUUGGAAUGUAAAGAGUAAGAAGAGUGUAUCGUUGUCAAACGCUCACUGUGGAUAUAUUUGAUCAGAACCCCUUGUGAGGUGUCUUGCAAGUGGUCAUCGAGAGGGCGGGGCAAGCGCACCUUGACGGCUCCUUUGAUGUGCUGAGGUAGUGUACCUGGAUGACGAGAACAUGACAGCUGACUCGAGCCGUGCUCAGGUGAGGAGCCAGGUAUGAAAACGGAUGACGCAGAAGGGGAGGGAGGGUAAGCGCGAACGGCAUUCGCACUCGGAGGAGUGGGGGAAAGGAUGAAGACCCUCGUGGACGCAGAAGCGGAGGGAUGGAGAGUGGCAGCAUGUGCUUGUGGAUGGAUUAACGUUAAGACAAAUGAAGGAGGGCACGAACAUUCCUUUGGAAACGGAGGAAGUGCAGUCCGACCCGAUAAUGAAGCUGAAAUGGGAUUUAUUUGGCCUCUUAUCAGCAAACGCUGCAGUGCAAAUAGUGACAUUAAUUUUAUAACAGUUACAAUGGAGCUACACCAGUGAAGUGAUUCACAUAUUUGUUUGGAUCAAUAAUUGGAGCAUUGAAGCGAAUGCCUACCUACACAUUAUCACAUAAUGAAUCACUUGAAUCUUUUAUACGACGCUAAUAAAAUGAUCAUGAUUUGAGUAAUCCUUAUGUGAUAACAUGAGCAGAAAAUGCAUAAACCCUUUAUAGUGUCCCAUAUUCAGGACAAAAAUGUAUCAGGUCAAACAAGGCUGUAGACAACAAUGAACAACGGUAGUGAAUGAAACCAUAUGUUUCACCUACCACCUGCAGUUUGAUCCUUAUGUACCCAAUAACACUAUCUAUUUCAUGUCGGUACUCAUUUUCUAUAUUUGGAGAGCGGCCAGUUGUCUAGGGCGCCGCAAUUCACUGUGCAGAGUUGCGUCCCUUGGGCACACCAGAAACCUAUGAUCAUGGGUUCGAAUCUCGGUUCGCCACGAUUAUGUUUCAUGGUUUGUUAGCUACAUACCCGUGCUCGUAGGUUUCAUAGUGGUAAAUGUCUGAGACCAGCAUCACUUCGGGCUUUCCUCCCACAUUAAUCUGGCAUGUCGGGAUGUAACCGGAUAAUGUUGAAAGUGGCGUUAAACCCAACACACUCACUCACUCACUCACUCACUCAUUCACGCUGAAUGUUGAAAAAAUGUUUGGAAAAACGAAACACGUCGCGUGAAAUAUGUAUGUAAAAAGCAACACAGAAUCAGAUAAUAUCAGUGUGGCUUAUCAGUAGAAGUGUUAAAUAUAUAGAUAGUUAGGACUAGGGGGUAUUCUUCUUCAUGCAAAUACAAUCCAAGUACAUCAAAGAUUAUGUAAUAUAAGAGACAACACGUAAUAGGCAUCAUCAUAACAUCCUUGUCACGUGUAUUUUGUAUAGCUAAGAAUGGAUCGAAGUUGUUUUGUUGUUUGGCCAUGAGGGAAAUCUUAUGUAACCUUUGUUAAAAUUACCGAGUAUUAUCAAGAGUGAUGAUAUCAACAGCCACAGUAUCAGUAGUAACAGUAGCAGCAGUAGUCGUAGUUAGCCGGUAUGGUUGGUAACCCUAUUAUAUGGUGAGGGGUAGUAGUCGCUCCAGGUAGUAGUAGGUAUGGUAGAAGUAGCAGCAGAGGCAGUAGCAGUAGCAGUAGUAGUAGCAG
rnacentral:lncRNA from 1 species